GACGAACGCUGGCGGCGUGCUUAACACAUGCAAGUCGAACGAAGAGCGACGGAAGCUUGCUUCUCUCAAUCUUAGUGGCGAACGGGUGAGUAACGCGUAAUCAACCUGCCCUUCAGAGGGGGACAACAGUUGGAAACGACUGCUAAUACCGCAUACGAUCUAACCUCGGCAUCGAGGAUAGAUGAAAGGUGGCCUCUACAUGUAAGCUAUCACUGAAGGAGGGGAUUGCGUCUGAUUAGCUAGUUGGAGGGGUAACGGCCCACCAAGGCGAUGAUCAGUAGCCGGUCUGAGAGGAUGAACGGCCACAUUGGGACUGAGACACGGCCCAGACCCCUACGGGAGGCAGCAGUGGGGAAUCUUCCGCAAUGGACGAAAGUCUGACGGAGCAACGCCGCGUGAGUGAUGACGGCCGUCGGGUUGUAAAGCUCUGUUAAUCGGGACGAAAGGCCUUCUUGCGAAUAGUGAGAAGGAUUGACGGUACCGGAAUAGAAAGCCACGGCUAACUACGUG
rnacentral:rRNA from 1 species